rnacentral:rRNA from 1 species
UACGGAGGGUGCAAGCGUUAUCCGGAUUCACUGGGUUUAAAGGGUGCGUAGGUGGGCUAGUAAGUCCGUGGUGAAAUCUCCAAGCUUAACUUGGAAACUGCCGUGGAUACUAUUAGUCUUGAAUCUCGUGGAGGUAAGCGGAAUAUGUCAUGUAGCGGUGAAAUGCUUAGAUAUGACAUAGAACACCAAUUGCGAAGGCAGCUGGCUACACAAAUAUUGACACUGAGGCACGAAAGCGUGGGGAUCAAACAGG